UACGGAGGAUGCGAGCGUUAUCCGGAUUUAUUGGGUUUAAAGGGUGCGUAGGCGGGCUGAUAAGUCAGCGGUGAAAUCUCCAGGCUCAACCUGGAACCUGCCGUUGAAACUGUUAGUCUUGAGUAUGGAUGAAGUAGGCGGAAUUCGUUGUGUAGCGGUGAAAUGCUUAGAUAUAACGAGGAACUCCAAUUGCGUAGGCAGCUUACUAAGCCAUAACUGACGCUGAGGCACGAAAGCGUGGGUAUCAAACAGG
rnacentral:rRNA from 1 species